rnacentral:rRNA from 1 species
AUUGAACGCUGGCGGCAGGCCUAACACAUGCAAGUCGAGCGGAUGAGAGGAGCUUGCUCCUUGAUUUAGCGGCGGACGGGUGAGUAAUGCCUAGGAAUCUGCCUGGUAGUGGGGGAUAACGUUCCGAAAGGAACGCUAAUACCGCAUCCGUCCUACGGGAGAAAGCAGGGGGCCUUCGGGCCCUGCGCUAUCAGAUGAGCCUAGGUCGGAUUAGCUAGUUGGUGAGGUAAUGGCUCACCAAGGCGACGAUCCGUAACUGGUCUGAGAGGAUGAUCAGUCACACUGGAACUGAGACACGGUCCAGACUCCUACGGGAGGCAGCAGUGGGGAAUAUUGGACAAUGGGCGAAAGCCUGAUCCAGCCAUGCCGCGUGUGUGAAGAAGGUCUUCGGAUUGUAAAGCACUUUAAGUUGGGAGGAAGGGCAUUAACCUAAUACGUUAGUGUUUUGACGUUACCGACAGAAUAAGCACCGGCUAACUUCGUGCCAGCCGCCGCCGUAACAC